AAAUUACCCACUCCCAGCACGGGGAGGUAGUGACGAAAAAUAACGAUACGGGACUCAUCCGAGGCCCCGUAAUCGGAAUGAGUACACUCUAAAUCCUUGUUCAAGGAUCAAUUGGAGGGAAAGUCUAGUGCCAGCAGCCGCGAUAAAACCAGCUCCAAUAGCGUAUAUUAAAGUUGUUGCGGUUAAAAAGCUCGUAGUCGAAUUUGUGUUCCGCGGCGUUGGUUCAUCGCUCGCGGUGUUCAACUGGCGUGUUCGCGGAACGUCCUGCCGGUGGGUUUUGGAGUGCGUUCGCGUGCUCUUGCCCAACUUGUGGUCGCUUGCGCGGCUGCGGAUCUCAUCGCGGUGCUCUUUAUUGAGUGUCGAGGUGGGCCGGCACAUUUACUUUGAACAAAUUAAAGUGCUUAAAGCAGGCCAAUUUUGCCUGAAUACUGUGUGCAUGGAAUAAUGGAAUAGGACCUCGGUUCUAUUUUGUGGGUUUUCGGAACCCCGAGGUAAUGAUUAAUAGGAACGGAUGGGGCAUUCGUAUUGCGACGUUAGAGGUGAAAUUCUUGGAUCGUCGCAAGACGGACAUAAGCGAAAGCAUUUGCCAAAAACGUUUUCAUUGAUCAAGAACGAAAGUUAGAGGCUCGAAGGCGAUCAGAUACCGCCCUAGUUCUAACCAUAAACGAUGCCAGCUAGCGAUCCGCCGACGUUCCUCCGAUGACUCGGCGGGCAGCUUCCGGGAAACCAAAGCUUUUGGGUUCCGGGGGAAGUAUGGUUGCAAAGCUGAAACUUAAAGGAAUUGACGGAAGGGCACCACCAGAAGUGGAGCAUGCGGCUUAAUUUGACUCAACACGGGACAUCUAACCAGGUCCAGACACCGGAAGGAUUGACAGAUUGAGAGCUCUUUCUUGAUUCGGUGGGUGGUGGUGCAUGGCCGUUCUUUGUUGGUGUAGUGAUUUGUCUGGUUAAUU
rnacentral:rRNA from 1 species